rnacentral:rRNA from 1 species
AUUGAACGCUGGCGGCAGGCCUAACACAUGCAAGUCGAACGGUAACAGGAAACAGCUUGCUGUUUCGCUGACGAGUGGCGGACGGGUGAGUAAUGUCUGGGAAACUGCCUGAUGGAGGGGGAUAACUACUGGAAACGGUAGCUAAUACCGCAUAACGUCGCAAGACCAAAGAGGGGGACCUUCGGGCCUCUUGCCAUCGGAUGUGCCCAGAUGGGAUUAGCUAGUAGGUGGGGUAACGGCUCACCUAGGCGACGAUCCCUAGCUGGUCUGAGAGGAUGACCAGCCACACUGCAACUGAGACACGGUCCAGACUCCUACGGGAGGCAGCAGUGGGGAAUAUUGCACAAUGGGCGCAAGCCUGAUGCAGCCAUGCCGCGUGUAUGAAGAAGGCCUUCGGGUUGUAAAGUACUUUCAGCGGGGAGGAAGGGAGUAAAGUUAAUACCUUUACUCAUUGACGUUACCCGCAGAAGAAGCACCGGCUAACUCCGUG